rnacentral:rRNA from 1 species
CCUACGGGAGGCAGCAGUGGGGAAUCUUGCGCAAUGGGCGAAAGCCUGACGCAGCAACGCCGCGUGCGGGAUGAAGGCCUUCGGGCUGUAAACCGCUUUCAGCAGGAACGAAAAUGACGGUACCUGCAGAAGAAGGAGCGGCCAACUACGUGCCAGCAGCCGCGGUGACACGUAGGCUCCAAGCGUUGUCCGGAUUUAUUGGGCGUAAAGAGCUCGUAGGCGGUCUAAUAAGUCGGGUGUGAAAACUCUGGGCUCAACCCGGAGACGCCAUCCGAUACUGCUAUGACUUGAGUUCAGGAGGGGAGCGGGGAAUUCCUAGUGUAGCGGUGAAAUGCGCAGAUAUUAGGAGGAACACCGGUGGCGAAGGCGCCGCUCUGGACUGAAACUGACGCUGAGGAGCGAAAGCAUGGGUAGCAAACAGGAUUAGAUACCCUGGUAGUCCAUGCCGUAAACGGUGGGCACUAGGUGUGGGUUUCAACUACGAAAUCCGCGCCGUCGCUAACGCAUUAAGUGCCCCGCCUGAGGAGACGGUCGCAAGCUAAAACUCAAAGUAGUAGNGCGNGNGAGNGCGACGACGACGACGACGGAGGAGG